GACUCGAAUAACAUGUCAUUACAAAAUAUGUAUGACAACGUGCAAAGUGUUGAUUGUAUUAAAUGCUAAAAGUGAUUAAUUAAUCUGGCGUUAAUUGCCAAUCAUUUGUUGAUUCUUUAAUCACAAGAUUAGGAGGGGCAGUGGCAGCAGAUUAAAAUAUGGCUGGCAGCAGAUUAGACAAAUUUGGUACAAUAUUCAAAAGAGUUCAAGGUUUAUUAAAAUCUGGGGCCUGGAGUAAAGUUGAUCGUCCCCUUUGGUAUGAUGUUUAUGAAAAAUUCCCUCCAAGAGUUGCUCCCCUUUAUGAAAGACCUGUACCUAAAGACAAAGUACGGCCAAUUUUGUAUCCAGAGGAUAUUCUCAGAGUACAAUUUCAUAAAAUGUAUGGUAAUAUGCAAUUAGAGGAUUUAGCUACAGAAGAUCCGAAGAGUAAGACAAACUGUCAAAAAUUUAUUGACAAGUAUAUGGAAUUAACGGCAAUGGAAUCUCCACCAGAUGAUGUUUUUCAAGCUGCGAUUGCUUCUUUAGACUUCUAUGGAAAACCAUUACAGACAAAAAAGGAAAGGAAGAACAGCCAAGAAAUGAAAGGAAAAUCAAAUAUUUCUGCGCUGAGUAAUAUUAAUGAACUGUAUAAUGACGAAGAAUAUUAUGUAGAAAAUAAAUUAGACAUAGAUAUUACUGAACUCUUAGAAAACACAAUAGAAGAAGAUGAUAAAAAACACUGGUGAAAGCUUGAUUCUGAUUGGCUGGGGUGAAAAACACUUGUGAAAGCUCGAUUCUGAUUGGCUGUGUAGAAAAACACUUGUGAAAGCUUGAUUCUGAUUGGCUGUGUAGAAAAUAUAAACUUUGUGAAUGUUAGUUUGAAAAUAGACUAGAUUAUCAAGACUAGUGAACAGAGCAGACAGGGAGUGUAUGGAACAAGUGGCUGGAUGUUCAAAUGUUAGUCGGACUCUGUUACAAUGUCUGGAUAGGAAAACAUAAAUUGUAAUCCUUUAACAAUAAAAACUAAUUUUAAAUAA